GAGAGGAGAAAACAUACCCGGGAGAGAGAGUUCAUAACCUAAUCCUUGCAAAGUGUCACUUUAACAGUGCAGCGGUCUCACAAAUGUACUCGUUUGGAUAGUAAAUAAUUAAUUUAUAUGAACAGACUGUAAUAAUUGUGCAAGUGUAAAAGGUAACAUAGACUUUAUAUAUUGUUGAAUAGCAAUAGUAGAGAAAUCCAAAAUAUUUAACAGUAUGUAUAUGGAGUGAAUAGCACACCACCCGGAAACAAGAGUACAAGAUAUAACCUACAAGAAGACAUCCUGCACUACAAUGACGCAGGUGUCAACAGGUCAUCUGAAUAGUAUUUAGGUUUACCGCAACUUCAAGUAUAUUAACACAAAUGCAGCCUCGCAGAGAAAGUCACAUAUUUUACACUAUUAGAGAUGACCGGACAGAACUCCAAGAUGAUGAAAGACUCCGUAGGAUCACCAGAAGCAUCUGAGGGGUCUCAGGGAUUCCAGCGCAUCAACAAUUCCAAGAUAACCAAGAAGGCAGCUUCAGAAUCUCAACGAAGACCCACUCCGUCCCAAAUUAGGAUGUAUAAGAGCAUCAAUUCAGGAAUUUGACAUUUCAUCACAGCACUUGUAAUAAUUCCCAGCGAAACGCUCAAUAGAUGACUGUCAUGUUUAACUCAAAGGAAGAUCACUCAGCUAUUUUGAACUUCCAUUUAUGCAUCCAUUAGUUAUUAUAGAUGCUUCACAGAUUAUAGGGAAGAUGUAAAAUGCCAAGACGCGGUUACAGCACAUGUGCAUUGCUUAACACUGUUCUUGGACGGGAUUUAGCACAGCACUAUAUAAUUCGUCUAAAUCGAACGUAUAUAAGG